UUGGCAGGGCUGCUGUCAACUUCUUGUAUGAUUAUAGGAAUGCAGUAACAGUAACAACGUGCGGCCUAGAACUCUAGAAAAUCGGGAAGGUGGGCAUUGGUUUUUUUCUGUUUAGAUUGCUGCUAAUUGUACAAGGUAGCGGUAGUGGUGCAAUUGUUCCCCCUCCUGGUUGGCGCCUCUCCGACGGUGGACCUUGGCAGUGAUUGCUGGAGCUCCUAUCGUAGACGUCUUUCUACGUGCGGUGGACAAUGAAGACGGCUGGUGUUUUUUAUUUCUUGAUCGUUGGUGGACAUCAAGCUAUCGUCGAUGGCUUGUUUUGUGCAGAUCUAGAAGGUUGCUGUUGUCGACGGUCUGCUAGAGCACGGCGGUGCGAAGCGUCUAGACGGUCUUGGUAGAAGUGUCCUGGGCGUGGAAGUUCGGUUCUCUACAUGCGGUUCUUCUUGCGGCUGCUUGUGGUUCGGUGACGGUUGGUUUUCAACGAUUCCAGGGUGCUUGGCGUAAGGGUUCUGCUGAUACUGGUGUUGCGGCUCUACUUCGAUUGCGUGCAGCAGUCAAGGAACUAUUCCCUAAUCCUCGACGGUUCAGGUGUGUUCGGGUGGAGUGCGCCGUUUUGCUGUAGUGCCAUCGCUAGUUGUGGGGUGCUAUUCUUAUCAAGUGGCUCAAGUGGAGUCGACCAACGGCUGCUGGACUUUGUGGUACUGAUUGGAGUAGAAUCUCAGUCGGCGGUUAUUCUCUUCCGAGACUGUGAUGGGUUUUUGUUUCUCCAUGUGGUGUUGCGGUUGACAUCAACGAGGCAUUGUAUCAUGUAGUCGACGUUCGCCCAAGCUGUCGUCGAAGGUGCACUGUUGACCUUGCAAACACGGAGCGGCGGAAGAGCUAGUGCACUCAAAAGUGGAAGCGUCGAUAAUUAGUUAUUCAUAUCACAUUGGUGGCAAGUACGAGCGUGUGUUUUAAUUUUUUUAAUUUUGUUCCUUGCGGUCUUGCUGUGAGGCGGUUCAUGUGUCAGAUGGUCCAUCGUUAGCCUCAAGGUCUGGACGAUCUAGACGCUCUGAGGUUGUGCGGCAUUGUGGGUGCUUUGGAUUGCUAAGGACCUACUGCUGUGGCCUACAGCUGGAGGCAUCGACCUCAUUCGACUACUGUGAAUUGUGGCUGGAGUAGCUCCAGACUGAUCUAGGGAGGGUUCCACUCUCGACAUUCAUAAUUAUUAUCAUACUUUCAUUGCGCUGGCGGUAAACCCAAGAGCUGGGCGACAUAUCAACGAACUAACGUGGUAUACUUCAGUAGUAUCACAGUGGGUCGAUUAUGUUCCGUUAGAGGCGCAUCACCCUGCAACAUUAUACUAUAGGGCUGGCGUGCUGUUGAUCCAAGUUAAACAAUUAGGAGGAUAGAAUUUCCAGCCAAGGAGUGUAAUCCUUGUUAGUGUUGGUGCUACAUGCUCGGUAGAGGGCAACUGCAAGCUUGCUGAGUUUUGUAACUAGGAAGUGUUGAUACAGUGCUUGGAUCAUCGACAUUACACCCUACAUACAAGUUUUCGGGAGUGAAUCGGCGUAUUACACUACAGGAGGUUGGCUUCGUAACUCGGCUGCUGCUGCUCGACCGUGGUUUUCUUGUGUUCAGAAUUUCUUUCAACAUCUUCCAUACAGUGGUGAGAAUUCCCAAUUUGGAAGACUUUUGCGGGGAUGAAGGUAGAUUGGAGGAACAGUUAUAGUUGGAUGAAGCUAGGUUAGAACUCAAAUGAAUUUAGGAUUUGGAAUGAAUUAUGUUAAGUUGGAUGAAUAUUUAGGAUUUAGAUGAAUAAUAUUUUUGGAUGAAAUCUCAUUCUUGGAUGAAAAAUCAUUCAUGGAUAAAAAUCUAUUUGUAAAUGAUAAAUUGUUCAUGGAUGAA